CUGGAGAUUGCAGUCGACGACUGAUCCUGAUUGGGAAGAACAAUGGUGACAUCCACCCGAGCUUUAUUCAUGUUCUUGUGGCUGCAGCUGGACUGGGUGAGCAAAGGAGAGAAUGUGGAGCAGCAACCUUCUAUCCUGAGGGUUCAGGAGGGAGACAACUCUGUUAUCAACUGUACUUAUUCAGAUAGUGCCUCAUCCUACUUCCCUUGGUAUAAGCAAGAACUUAGAAAAGGUCCUCAGCUUAUUAUAGACAUUCGUUCAAAUAUGGACAAAAAGCAAGACCAAAGAAUUACAGUUCUGAUAAAUGCUGUGGCCAAACAUCUCUCCUUGCACAUCGCCGACACCCAGCCUGGAGACUCAGCUGUCUACUUCUGUGCAGCCAGUGACAAUUUUUAUUCAACAGAAGAAAAAUUCAAUGCUGUCAGUAUACAGCUCAGAUCUAGACACAUUCAAGCUUUAAACUUCACUGAG